rnacentral:lncRNA from 1 species
AAAAUGUUGAGAAGCCGAGAAUGAUCCAUAGAAACAGAAGCAUGUCCCUUAGAUAGAAAUAGACAGUUAAAGUUUAAUAUUGAAGGAGACAUUCUCCAGCGAGAACAGGUAAAAACCUCCCUAAACCAGCUCCAAGAUUUCUUCAGUCUUUCUCUUGUUUAUAUCACUGGACUAAACAAAUCCAAAGCUCCAUGUCUUUAAACAAUGUGUAGGCUAUAAAGAACAAUACGCAAAAUAUCAGAGUAAACAAGUUGAACACAACCCAUCUGGUGCAUUGGGUUCCACACGUAUGAUUCAUUGCCAUCCAAAACCAGAGUGACUACACAUUUGCUCUCCUCUCCUACGUGAGUGUACUUCAAACCCCUCCAUAUAUCUACUGGCUAAGGCUACUCAAACUGAACUGUUGCAACCAAUCCUUGGCUAGGACCUUCCAGUCGACUAGCCUUCCUCUACACCAAGUCUUCAUAAAGAAACCUCUAUUAUAGAACCCUCAUCUGCCUUAGCCAGAUUCAUACAAAACACACAACACAAGCCUUCCCCACUCAUAUCUUACCCACAACACAAAAGAGAGUAC